GGAGUGGGUUAAUGGUUCGAAGUCGACUUUCGAAGCAAGAGGUUGGCGGUUCGAAUUCAACCAUG
rnacentral:tRNA from 1 species